rnacentral:rRNA from 1 species
UACGUAGGGUGCAAGCGUUAAUCGGAAUUACUGGGCGUAAAGCGUGCGCAGGCGGCUUUGCAAGACAGAUGUGAAAUCCCCGGGCUUAACCUGGGAACUGCAUUUGUGACUGCAUGGCUGGAGUGCGGCAGAGGGGGGGAUGGAAUUCCGCGUGUAGCAGUGAAAUGCGUAGAUAUGCGGAGGAACACCGAUGGCGAAGGCAGUCCCCUGGGCCUGC